GGGAGGCUCAGCCAUUUGGUUGUGGUGCCGGAGACGGACCCCUUUAGAUUUCGGGGCGGCUGAGGAGCGCGGUGGCUGCUCCGUGGCUGAGCGAGGGGGGUGGGCGGAAUGGCGGGGGAAGGGAAGGUGACUGCCUGGAGGGCCGAGCUGCCCGGCCUCGCCAACCUGCCGCCGCCUCAGCGUUUGGCCGGGGGCGGGGCCGCAGUCAAACCGCGGCCAUCGCCGCCCCUCUAAUAAGUAAAUAAAAGCAAGAUGCGUCCACCUUUGGUUGACUUACCUCGUGGCCUCGACCGUCUGCACCGAGGGGCAUUUCAGUUUGCUGUCAUAUGAGGUCAGCUUGGCCGGAGUGAUGACCUAGAGGCACCCAGAAUCCUGUUUAGUCAAUAAACGAAUGAAGACUAUAGAUUAAGAAUUGUUGCUGAAUGUAUUGAAUAUUAAUUAAAAAGUAGGAAAGGAAGGUGCUAAUUCCUGGUUUUCUGGACCAAUUUAUGGGCUUUAUAGAGCUAGUGAAAGGAAACGGCGCAGUUUAUUCUAAUCGUCCACCUGAGUCAUAUGUUUCAAUUUGGGUUGCCAAAGAGGCUCUGUUUAGAGCUCUUUCCCCAGGUUUUUCUGUUUGCUUGCUUUGUUUUUCGGAUCACAUUACUUGUAGAGACCUUAAAGCCAUAAUUCCCACUGGGUUACCAACUUCUAUGGGCAGGCCUAGGACCUUGUCAUGUACUAAGUUGGCUGCCCGUGGCUGUUAGUAAAUCAUGGGGAUUGUUGUCAACAAGGACAGAUACAUCUUUAUUCUUCCAUACAACUGUUUUUCAAUGCUUUUCUACACGUCUACACUUCCCCAUACACUCUAAGGUAGUUUUUUCUUUUUGGAUACAUGUGUCUAUUUUUCAGGGACGUGGGUUCAAGGAAGAGAUAAACCAGUAUGUAUGCUGCAAAUUUGAAAUGUUAUGUAACACUAAUACAGUUUCAUUCUUGGGCAUAUAAAGUUUAGGAGGAAAUAAAAAGUGACAGAAUGUAAAUAAAACAUACAAAAAUGCUUACACUGUGGAAGAAACUAGGAACUUUUAAUAUUGUAACCUGAUGGACUGCAAACAUAAAAUCCUGCAACUAAUAAGCAUUUUACUCUAAAUUCUUUCAAAUAAAAUAAAUGGAAUUUGAAAAGUAAUGUUUAUUUUUGAGAAGCUGGGAAAUGGAGAAUAAAAAUGGAAAGUCAUUGUUUUAUUUCAAAUGGGUAUAAAUAGUAUAGUUUGACUUGCUGACUGCUGACAUAUUGUCUUCCUGUUUUGUUAAAUCUUAUUGAAGUCAAUUUGUGUAGUUGGAAUUUCUUAAAAUUGUAUUGGUUUCAUUAUAAAAAAAAUAGAGGGACCCCACAUUCCUUCCCUUUGCUCGA